GAUGAACGCUGGCGGCGUGCCUAAUACAUGCAAGUCGAGCGAACAGACGAGGAGCUUGCUCCUCUGACGUUAGCGGCGGACGGGUGAGUAACACGUGGAUAACCUACCUAUAAGACUGGGAUAACUUCGGGAAACCGGAGCUAAUACCGGAUAAUAUAUUGAACCGCAUGGUUCAAUAGUGAAAGACGGUUUUGCUGUCACUUAUAGAUGGAUCCGCGCCGCAUUAGCUAGUUGGUAAGGUAACGGCUUACCAAGGCAACGAUGCGUAGCCGACCUGAGAGGGUGGUCGGCCACCCUGGAACUGGGACACGGUCCAGACUCCUACGGGAGGCCGCAGUAGGGAAUCUUCCGCAAAGGGCGAAAGCCUGACGGAGCAACGCCGCGUGAGUGAUGAAGGUCUUCGGAUCGUAAAACUCUGUUAUUAGGGAAGAACAAAUGUGUAAGUAACUAUGCACGUCUUGACGGUACCUAAUCAGAAAGCCCCGGCUAACUACGUG
rnacentral:rRNA from 1 species